ACCGCUACUGCCUACUGGCGCUGAUGAGCCGCGGGGCCGUCAUCUUGAAUCGGUCACCCGCUCUACUCAGUGUAAGCUGUCAGUGCAUUUAAUUAAUCAUACCUGGAGCAAUGAGGGGGUGACUGGAGCAAUGAGGGGGUGUAUGGAGUAAAUGAGGAGCUGACAGGAGGCAACCUGGAGUGACUGGAGUCAAUGAGGAGGUGACAGGAGGCAAUGAGAGGGUGACUGGACUAAUCUGGGGGUAACUGGAGCAUUCUGGGGGUGUAUGCAGCAAUGAGGGGGUGUCAGAACAAUGAG